rnacentral:rRNA from 1 species
CAGCUAGCUUAUCCACCAAUAUAACCAAAUAAUAUAAAUAAAAUAGAAUAGGCCAAACACCAAAAACUAAACCAUUCUUUUACCUGAGUAUGGGAGACAGAAAAGGUUCAACCAAAGCAAUAGAAACAGUACCGCAAGGGAAAGCUGAAAGAGAAAUGAAAUAACCCAUAUAAGUAUUAAAAAGCAAAGACUAAACCUUGUACCUUUUGCAUCAUGAUUUAGCCAGUAAACACAAGCAAAGAGACCUUUAGUUUGAAACCCCGAAACCAGGUGAGCUACCCCGAGACAGCCUAUUAAGGGCCAACCCGUCUCUGUGGCAAAAGAGUGGGAAGAGCUCCGGGUAGAAGUGACAGACCUACCGAACCUGGUGAUAGCUGGUUGCCUAAGAAAUGGAUAGAAGUUCAGCCUCGUACACCUCAAAUCAAAUAGAUACCAGCCAAGACUCCAAGAGAAAAACACGAGAGUUAGUUAAAGGGGGUACAGCCCCUUUAACAAAGGAUACAACCUUACCCAGGAGGAUAAAGAUCAUAAUAUAUAAAACAUACUGUUCUAGUGGGCCUAAAAGCAGCCACCUAAACAGAAAGCGUUAAAGCUCAGACAGAGAAAAGUUUAUUAUUCUGAUAAAAAAUCUUACUCCCCUAAAUACUAUUAGGCUAAUCCAUGCCCCCAUGGAAGAAAUUAUGCUAAAAUGAGUAACAAGAAGGCCCGCCCUUCUCCAAGCACAAGUGUAAGCCAAACCGGACCAACCGUUGGCAACUAACGAACUCAACCCAAGAGAGCAAUGUGAACCAUAAAGAAAACAAGAAAACCUCACAACUUAACAAUCGUUAACCCCACACUGGAGUGCUACUAAAGGAAAGACUAAAGGAAAAGGAAGGAACUCGGCAAACACAAGCCUCGCCUGUUUACCAAAAACAUCGCCUCCUGCAACACAGCCAUGUAUAGGAGGUCCAGCCUGCCCAGUGACUACAAGUUCAACGGCCGCGGUAUUUUGACCGUGCAAAGGUAGCGCAAUCACUUGUCUUUUAAAUAGAGACCUGUAUGAAUGGCUAAACGAGGGCUUAACUGUCUCCCCUUUCAAGUCAGUGAAAUUGAUCUGCCCGUGCAGAAGCG